rnacentral:sRNA from 1 species
GGGGAACUCGGUUUCGGCUCGGGUGGGGCUAAGUCUGGAAUCCGUAACCUGGAGGUG